UCACUUCCAAUCACAUUUCUUUAGCUACUAACAACUUCAAGAAUACGUCGUGCAUGGCGGGAGCUUUAGUGCAUGGAACUGUGCUUUUUUCUGAGGAACUUGCAUUAUGUACUCCCAUAAAAUCCAAGAAAACCAAACCCCAUUUGCCUAUUUCUCCCAUUUUGUCUUCACUGAAACCAUCUUCAAGAUUACAGCUGCGUAUGAUAGAUUCUUAUGGUCCGACCCUUCCUCGAACCUCGUGCACAGCAGGAUUUUCUGAGGAACUUGCAUUCUUUCCCUCCAUAAAACUCAAGAAAACCAAACCCCAUUUGUCUAUUUCUCCCAUUUUGUCUUCCUUCAAUCGGUCUUCAAGAUUAUGGGUGCGUGCAGUAGAUUCCUGUGGUCCGACCCUUCCUCGAACCUCGUGCACAGCAGCAUUUUCUGAGGAAGUUGCAUUCUUUCCCUCCAUAAAACUCAAGAAAACCAAACCCCACUUGCCUAUUUCUCCCAUUUUGUCUUCCUUCAAUACAUCUUCAAGAUUACAGCUGCGUGCGAUAGAUUCUUGUGAUCCGAUCCUUCGUCGAACCCCGUGCAUAGCAGGAGCUAUAGUGCAUCGAACUGCUCCUUUUUCUGCUUCUGCAUUGUCUGAUGGAGCUGAUGAAGCUGCAUUGUCACUGGAAGAGGAGAGUGAAGAAGAAGAAGAUGAGGAGGAGAAAGAAGGAGAUGGUGGAGG
rnacentral:lncRNA from 1 species